GACGAACGCUGGCGGCGUGCCUAAUACAUGCAAGUAGAACACUGAAGGAGGAGCUUGCUCUUCUGGAUGAGUUGCGAACGGGUGAGUAACGCGUAGGUAACCUGCCUGGUAGCGGGGGAUAACUAUUGGAAACGAUAGCUAAUACCGCAUAACAGUAGAUGUUGCAUGACAUUUACUUAAAAGGUGCAAUUGCAUCACUACCAGAUGGACCUGCGUUGUAUUAGCUAGUUGGUGGGGUAACGGCUCACCAAGGCGACGAUACAUAGCCGACCUGAGAGGGUGAUCGGCCACACUGGGACUGAGACACGGCCCAGACUCCUACGGGAGGCAGCAGUAGGGAAUCUUCGGCAAUGGACGGAAGUCUGACCGAGCAACGCCGCGUGAGUGAAGAAGGUUUUCGGAUCGUAAAGCUCUGUUGUAAGAGAAGAACGAGUGUGAGAGUGGAAAGUUCACACUGUGACGGUAUCUUACCAGAAAGGGACGGCUAACUACGUG
rnacentral:rRNA from 1 species